rnacentral:rRNA from 1 species
CGCGAAUGCUUCUAGAUUAGAGUUUGAUCCAUGGGCUCAGGANUGAACGCUGGCGGCGUGCCUAAUACAUGCNAGUCGAGCGAAUGGAUUAAGAGCUUGCUCUUAUGAAGUUAGCGGCGUGACGGGUGAAGUAACNACAGUGGGUAACCUGCCCAUAAGGACUGGGAUAAACUCCGGGAAACCGGUGGGCUAAUACCCUGGAUAACAUUUNUGCACUGGCAUUGGUGCGAAAUUGACAACGGCGAGGNCUUACAGAGAC